GACGAACGCUGGCGGCGUGCUUAACACAUGCAAGUCGAACGGAAAGGCCCUGCUUUUGUGGGGUGCUCGAGUGGCGAACGGGUGAGUAACACGUGAGUAACCUGCCCUUGACUUUGGGAUAACUUCAGGAAACUGGGGCUAAUACCGGAUAGGAGCUCCUGCUGCAUGGUGGGGGUUGGAAAGUUUCGGCGGUUGGGGAUGGACUCGCGGCUUAUCAGCUUGUUGGUGGGGUAGUGGCCUACCAAGGCUUUGACGGGUAGCCGGCCUGAGAGGGUGACCGGCCACAUUGGGACUGAGAUACGGCCCAGACGCCUACGGGAGGCAGCAGUGGGGAAUAUGGCACAAUGGGCGGAAGCCUGAUGCAGCAACGCCGCGUGCGGGAUGACGGCCUGCUGGUUGUAAACCGCUUUCGCCUGUGACGAAGCGGGAGUGACGGUAAUGGGUAAAGAAGCACCGGCUAACUACGUG
rnacentral:rRNA from 1 species